CUCCGGUUGAUCCUGCCGGACCCGACUGCUAUCAGAGUGGGACUAAGCCAUGCGAGUCAACAUAGCAAUAUGUGGCAUACGGCUCAGUAACACGUAGUCAACAUGCCCAGGGGACGUGGAUAACCUCGGGAAACUGAGGAUAAACCGCGAUAGGUCAUCACUUCUGGAAUGGGUAAUGACUUAAAUCUAUAUGGCCCCUGGAUUGGACUGCGGCCGAUCAGGCUGUUGGUGAGGUAAUGGCCCACCAAACCUGUAACCGGUACGGGCUCUGAGAGGAGGAGCCCGGAGAUGGGCACUGAGACAAGGGCCCAGGCCCUAUGGGGCGCAGCAGGCGCGAAACCUCUGCAAUAGGCGAAAGCUUGACAGGGUUACUCUGAGUGAUUUCCGUUAAGGAGAUCUUUUGGCACCUCUAAAAAUGGUGCAGAAUAAGGGGUGGGCAAGUCUGGUGUCAGCCGCCGCGGUAAUACCAGCACCCCGAGUGGUCGGGACGUUUAUUGGGCCUAAAGCAUCCGUAGCCGGUUCUACAAGUCUUCCGUUAAAUCCACCUGCUUAACAGAUGGGCUGCGGAAGAUACUAUAGAGCUAGGAGGCGGGAGAGGCAAGCGGUACUCGAUGGGUAGGGGUAAAAUCCGUUGAUCCAUUGAAGACCACCAGUGGCGAAGGCGGCUUGCCAGAACGCGCUCGACGGUGAGGGAUGAAAGCUGGGGGAGCAAACCGGAUUAGAUACCCGGGUAGUCCCAGCUGUAAACGAUGCAGACUCGGUGAUGAGUUGGCUUAUUGCUAACUCAGUGCCGCAGGGAAGCCGUUAAGUUUGCCGCCUGGGGAGUACGGUCGCAAGACUGAAACUUAAGGGAAUUGGCGGGGGAGCA
rnacentral:rRNA from 1 species